UCCCAAUUCUCUCUCACACUCUCUAAGCCGUCGUUCUCUUUUUAAGCUAGGACUCUCUCAAAAAUUGGCGACGGUGGAGUGAUAACGGUGACAGUGAACGACGGUAUUGAAGGUAUAAUUUCACUGAAUGACGAUAUUGAAGGUCAAUCAAGAAAUUCCCAUCUUUACUCACAUCUUCACUGAUUUGAGGUGUGUUGCUGCAAAGGGUGAUGAGCUGCAGCUGGCAAUAAAUUCGCUAAAUACUACCGUGCACUUUGCCCUGGUGAAUGGGUAUGUAAGACAACCUCAAUGCAAUUUUUUAUAUGUAAGCAAGAGAGUGGCCUUUCUACAUUGAGUACUGCCACAAGUAACAGUUUCACUGGCAUUUGUCUCCACCACAAAGUAACCCGUGAAAUCAGGAAGUAUCAGCACAAUAGCAAAGGUAAGGUCCUACUUGGGAUUGAGGAAAGUUUCAUCAACUGCACCAACCCAUGAAAAGUUAUCCUUCUUCAAGAGUUCAGUCAAAGAACUGCGAAUGAGGCCACAAUCUUUUAUGAACUUUCUGUAAUAUCCCACCAGUUCAAGGAAAUCCUAAUAGUUCUUAUGCAUUGUCCCGGGUACAACAACUACGAAUAUCACUACAAUAAAUUGGAACUUGUAUCCGAA